AUUGAACGCUGGCGGCAUGCCUUACACAUGCAAGUCGAACGGCAGCACGGGAGCAAUCCUGGUGGCGAGUGGCGAACGGGUGAGUAAUAUAUCGGAACGUGCCCAGUCGUGGGGAUAACGUAGCGAAAGUUACGCUAAUACCGCAUACGAUCUACGGAUGAAAGCGGGGGAUCGCAAGACCUCGCGCGAUUGGAGCGGCCGAUAUCAGAUUAGGUAGUUGGUGAGGUAAAGGCUCACCAAGCCGACGAUCUGUAGCUGGUCUGAGAGGACGACCAGCCACACUGGGACUGAGACACGGCCCAGACUCCUACGGGAGGCAGCAGUGGGGAAUUUUGGACAAUGGGCGCAAGCCUGAUCCAGCAAUGCCGCGUGCAGGAUGAAGGCC
rnacentral:rRNA from 1 species